rnacentral:rRNA from 1 species
UACGAACUGUGCAAACGUUAUUCGGAAUCACUGGGCUUACAGGGUGCGUAGGCGGCUUGCUAAGUAGGGUGUGAAAGCCCCCAGCUUAACUGGGGAACUGCGCCCUAAACUGGCGAGCUGGAGUGAGAUAGGGGUGUGCGGAACUUCCGGUGGAGCGGUGAAAUGUGUUGAUAUCGGAAGGAACGCCGGUGGCGAAAGCGGCACACUGGAUCUCAACUGACGCUGAGGCACGAAAGCCAGGGUAGCGAACGGG